UACAGAGGGUGCAAGCGUUAUUCGGAAUUACUGGGCGUAAAGCGUGCGUAGGCGGUUAUGUAAGUCAGGUGUGAAAGCCCCGGGCUCAACCUGGGAAUUGCAUUUGAGACUGCAUAGCUAGGGUGCGGAAGAGGGAAGCGGAAUUUCCGGUGUAGCGGUGAAAUGCGUAGAUAUCGGAAGGAACAUCAGUGGCGAAAGCGGCUUCCUGGUCCAGCACCGACGUUCAGGCACGAAAGCGUGGGGAACAAACAGG
rnacentral:rRNA from 1 species